CGGAUUGUAGUCUGNAACCCGACUACAUGAAGCCGGAAUCGCUAGUAAUCGCAAAUCAGAAUGUUGCGGUGAAUACGUUCCCGGGUCUUGUACACACCGCCCGUCACACCGGAUGGGAGUUGGAAAUGCCCGAAGUCAGUGACCCAACCGAAAGGAGGGAGCUGCCGAAGGCAGGUCCGAUGACUGGGGUGAAGUCGUAACAAGGUACC
rnacentral:rRNA from 1 species